AUCGCUUCUCGGCCUUUUGGCUAAGAUCAAGUGUAGUAAAAUGUAACUAACCCUUUCCUCUUUUUAAUUUGAUUACCUCAGGCAUUUUAU
ensembl:snRNA LOC120098020 U2 spliceosomal RNA